UAAUACGAACUGUGCGAACGUUAUUCGGAAUCACUGGGCUUAAAGGGUGCGUAGGCGGUUCGCCAAGUCAGGUGUGAAAUCCCCCGGCUCAACCGGGGAACAGCGCUUGAAACUAGCGGGCUGGAGCGAGGCAGGGGUAUGUGGAACUUCCGGUGGAGCGGUGAAAUGUGUAGAUAUCGGAAGGAACGCCGGUGGCGAAAGCGGCAUACUGGGCCUUGACUGACGCUGAGGCACGAAAGCUAGGGGAGUGAACGGGAUUAGAUACCCCGGUAAUCCUAGCCGUAAACACUGAGCACUGGAGGGGAGGGGUUUCGGCCUUUUCCCUCGCAGCGAAAGCGUUAAGUGCUCCGCCUGGGGAGUAUGGUCGCAAGGCUG
rnacentral:rRNA from 1 species